GUGCUCACUUUGGCAGCACAUACACUAAAAUUGGAACGAUAUAGAGAUUAGCAUGGCCCCUGCGCAAGGAUAACAUGCAAAUUCAUGAAGUGUUCCAUAUUUAA
rnacentral:snRNA from 1 species